CCUACGGGAGGCAGCAGUAGGGAAUCUUGCUCAAUGGGGGAAACCCUGAAGCAGCAACGCCGCGUGGAGGAUGAAGGUUUUCGGAUUGUAAACCCCUUUUGUUAGAGAAGAUAAUGACGGUAUCUAACGAAUAAGCACCGGCUAACUCCGUGUCAGCAGCCGCGGUAAUACGGAGGGGGCAAGCGUUACUCGGAAUCACUGGGCGUAAAGAGCGCGUAGGCGGGAUAGCAAGUCAGAUGUGAAAUCCUAUGGCUUAACCAGAGAACUGCAUUUGAAACUGUUAGUCUAGAGUAUGGGAGAGGUAGGUGGAAUUCUUGGUGUAGGAGUAAAAUCCGUAGAGAUCGAGAGGAAUACUCGUGGCGAAGGCGACCUGCUAGAACAUAACUGACGCUGAGGCGCGAAAGCGUGGGGAGCGAACAGGAUUAGAUACCCGGGUAGUC
rnacentral:rRNA from 1 species